GUGGGGAAUAUUGGACAAUGGGCGCAAGCCUGAUCCAGCCAUGCCGCGUGAGUGAUGAAGGCCCUAGGGUUGUAAAGCUCUUUCACCGGAGAAGAUAAUGACGGUAUCCGGAGAAGAAGCCCCGGCUAACUUCGUGCCAGCAGCCGCGGUAAUACGAAGGGGGCUAGCGUUGUUCGGAAUUACUGGGCGUAAAGCGCACGUAGGCGGACAUUUAAGUCAGGGGUGAAAUCCCGGAGCUCAACUCCGGAACUGCCUUUGAUACUGGGUGUCUGGAGUAUGGAAGAGGUGAGUGGAAUUCCGAGUGUAGAGGUGAAAUUCGUAGAUAUUCGGAGGAACACCAGUGGCGAAGGCGGCUCACUGGUCCAUUACUGACGCUGAGGUGCGAAAGCGUGGGGAGCAAACAGGAUUAGAUACCCCAGUAGUCC
rnacentral:rRNA from 1 species